rnacentral:rRNA from 1 species
CCUGGGAACUGCGUUNUGAACUGGGUGACUAGAGUGUGUCAGAGGGAGGUAGAAUNCCACGUGUAGCAGUGAAAUGCGUAGAGAUGUGGAGGAAUACCGAUGGCGAAGGCAGCNUCCUGGGAUAACACUGACGUUCAUGCCCGAAAGCGUGGGUAGCAAACAGGAUUAGAUACCCUGGUAGUNCACGCCCUAAACGAUGUCGAUCAGCUGUUGGGCAGCAUGACUGCUUAGUAGCGAAGCUAACGCGUGAAAUCGACCGCCUGGGGAGUACGGUCGCAAGAUUAAAACUCAAAGGAAUUGACGGGGACCCGCACAAGCGGUAGAUGAUGUGGAUUAAUUCGAUGCAACGCGAAGAACCUUACCUGGUCUUGACAUGUACGGAACCCUCCAGAGACGGAGGGGUGCCUUCGGGAGCCGUAACACAGGUGCUGCAUGGCUGUCGUCAGCUCGUGUCGUGAGAUGUUGGGUUAAGUCCCGCAACGAGCGCAACCCUUGUCAUUAGUUGCCAUCAUUAAGUUGGGCACUCUAAUGAGACUGCCGGUGACAAGCCGGAGGAAGGUGGGGAUGACGUCAAGUCCUCAUGGCCCUUAUGACCAGGGCUUCACACGUCAUACAAUGGUCGGUACAGAGGGUAGCCAAGCCGCGAGGUGGAGCCAAUCUCACAAAACCGAUCGUAGUCCGGAUUGCACUCUGCAACUCGAGUGCAUGAAGUCGGAAUCGCUAGUAAUCGCAGGUCAGCAUACUGCGGUGAAUACGUUCCCGGGUCUUGUACACACCGCCCGUCACACCAUGGGAGUGGGGGAUACCAGAAGUA